rnacentral:rRNA from 1 species
GUAUUCCGCUCCAUAGCGUAUAUUAAAGUUGUUGCAGUUAAAAAGCUCGUAGUUGAAUUUCGGGGUUAGUAGGUUGGUCAUGCCUCUGGUAUGUACUGGUCUCACUGAUUCCUCCUUCCUGAUGAGCCGUAAUGCCAUUAAUUUGGUGUUGCGGGGAAUUUGGACUGUUACUUUGAAAAAAUUAGAGUGUUUAAAGCAAGCUAACGCUUGAAUACAUUAGCAUGGAAUAAUGAAAUAGGACGUUCGAUCCUAUUUUGUUGGUUUCUAGGAUUGACGUAAUGAUUAAUAGGGAUAGUUGGGGGCAUUAGUAUUCAAUUGUCAGAGGUGAAAUUCUUGGAUUUAUUGAAGACUAACUACUGCGAAAGCAUUUGCCAAGGAUGUUUUCAUUAAUCAAGAACGAAAGUUAGGGGAUCGAAGACGAUCAGAUACCGUCGUAGUCUUAACCAUAAACUAUGCCGACUAGGGAUCGGAUGAUGUUAAUUUUUUAAUGACUCAUUCGGCGCCUUACGGGGAAACA